rnacentral:rRNA from 1 species
CCUACGGGUGUCUGCAGUCGAGACUCAUUCACAAUGGGGGAAACCCUGAUGGUGCGACGCCGCGUGGGGAAAUGAAGGUCUUCGGAUUGUAAACUCCUUUCAUGUGGGAGCAAAUUAAUAAUUUAGUACCACAAGAGGAAGAGACUGCUAACUAUGUGCCAGCAGCCGCGGUACUACGGAGGUCUCAAGCGUUGUUCGGAAUCACUGGGCGUAAAGCGUGCGUAGGCUGUGUCGUAAGUCGUGUGUGAAAGGCGCGGACUCAACCCGCGGACGGCACCUGAGACUGCGAGGCUAGAGUAAUGGAGGGGGAACUAGAAUUCUAGGUGUAGCAGUGAAAUGCGGAGAGAGGGGGAGGAACACUGGAGGCGAAGGCGGGUUCCGGGACAUUAACUGACGCUGAGGCACGAAGGCCAGGGGAGCGAAAGGGAUGAGAUACCCGAGUAGUC